CCAGUAGUCGUGGUGACCGGGUAGAGCCACCAUGACGACCUCAAGCCUCGUCUUCGUGCUCGCCCUCGUGGCAGGAGGACUCGCAGCGCCCUGGACAGCACAGGCGCCAAGAUGCUCCACCGAAUGCCCCAUCACCGGAUCCCCCAAGCUGGCCUACCAGCCUGAGAAGACCUACACCUACGCCUACUCCGGCAAGUCACGGGUCCAGCUGAAGGGCGUGGAGGACGGCGCCACGGAACUCGAGUGGUCCAAGCAGGUGGAGCUGACGUGGAUCACUCCCUGCGACAUGGCCAUCACGAUCAAGCACGCCAAGGUGGACGGCGCAGCAGGAGCUGACAUAGGGUUCCUGGAGCGCUAUCCCCUGGUGGUGGCCGUGGCAGACGGGCGCAUCCAGCACGUGUGCACUCACCCCGGCGAUGCCCCUUGGUCCAUCAACAUGAAGAAGGGAAUCGCCACAGCCCUUCAGAACUCGCUCCCGUCGCUCUCCCCUCUCAGCUCAGGAUUCACUCUUACAGAGACGGACGUUGUAGGAAAAUGCCCAACGAAGUAUGAGAUUGAGACUGAAGGAGAAAAGGUCAUUGUUGUCAAGGAGAAGAACCACCGCCAUUGCCAAGAACGCUUCCCAACGCCUGCAGAAACACCCGCCCCUUGGCUCAAGGCUCCCCUGCCAAUCGAAGAGUCCAGGUCAGAGUGCAAGCAGGAGAUCACCAAUGGCAUUUACACCACCAUCACCUGUCAGGACAAGAACAUUGUUCGACCUGCCUUUGGAAUGUACAAGUAUGUGGAGGCCGACCAAGAGUCAACACUUCGCUUCAUCUCCGAGUCCAGCGAUGCUUCCGCCAUCACUGCCAUCCCUCCAGGUCAAUUCCAGAUUGAAAGCCUCUUGUACAACCAUGAAAUGGUGAAGGAACCAGAACUGGCCCCUGAGGUGGAUGCAGUCAUGAAGCAGAUCUGCAAAGACCAUGGAGACUGUUGAGAUUGAUGCUGCUGCACUGGUUGCCAAAGCCCUCCAUCUGUUACGACGUGUUCCUGCGUCGGUAGUUGAAGCAACUGCAGAGAAAGUGCGAGGAGGACGUUAUUGUGGCAACUCUGCCAGGCUAGAGAGCAUCUUCCUGGAUGCCAUUGCCUUCGUCCACGAGUCUGGUGCAGUCAAGGUCAUGGUCCAGGAAAUAGAAAGUGGACGAGCAACAGGAGGACGUCUUGCUCUGUACACAGCUGCUCUUUACCUCACCCCGAGACCCAGCAUUGAAGCUGUGGAGGCCCUCAAACCCGUGUUUGAGAGCCCUCGACCUAUGCCUUCAGUGGCUCUGGCUGCUGCCACCAUGGUUAACAACUAUUGCCGUCACACUCCCCACUGCAACGAGACAGCUCCAGUCAAGGAAAUUGCUGACAUCCUGGCCGCUAAAGUUCAGAGCCAGUGCUCUCCUUCUGCCGGCGAAGAAGUUGAGAAAGAAGCCCUUGCAACACUUAAAGCCCUAGGCAACAUGGGAGUCAUUACCCCUGCGGUAACAAGAGCAGUAGUUGGCGUCAUUGAACAUGAGGGAAUAGAAACUGGCGUCCGAGUAGCAGCCACACAUGUCUUCAGGCAUACACAGUGUACUCACUAUGUUACAGAAAAACUUAGUGAUGUUGCAGUUCACCCAAGUAUGGCUACUGAAGUUCGGAUUGCAGCUUAUUUGGGAGCAAUCAGAUGUGCUGAAGAGGAACAUCUUGAGAAGAUUGUUUCAAGGAUUUCUGAAGAAAAAAACACUCAAGUGCGAGGUUUCGUUUUGAGCCACUUGUUGAACAUCCAAGAAUCCUCCUCACCUGACAGAGAACAUCUGCGCUACCUCCUCACAAACUUCGUCAUUCCUAGAAACUUCGAAGGAGACAUCAGGAAGCACUCUCGCAAUAUUGAGAUGUCCUACUUUUCUCCUUCCUUUGGUAUUGGCGCUGGUGUGGAGUCCAAUGUCAUUUACACUCCUGAAUCCUUCCUACCUCGCUCUGUUGAUAUGAGUCUCCGAACAACUAUCGAGGACUUGAACAUCAAUUUGGGAGAGGCUGGCAUCCGACUUGAAGGCUUAGACCCAAUCAUUAAGGAACUAGUUGGCCCAGAAGGAUACCUUCGAAAGGCAUCGUUUGAUCGCAUUUUGAAAGACGUCGUUGCAUUUGCUGAAGAGAAGGGACAUCACAUUGCAGAGCAUUUAAAAGAAAGCCUUCGGGAGAAGAGGGCCAUCAGCACAUCUACUAUUUCCAGAUUUUUCAAAAAGCUCUAUGGAGAGAGGAAAGAGGGUGAAGUCCGUGCCGAUAUAUUCGCAAGAAUCUUUGGACAUGAAGUAACCUAUGCCACCAUUGCUGAAGACCUGAAGGAGUUGGAUGCUGACAGAAUAAUUGAGUCACUCUUCUCUUACUUCGAUGCCGUCGUUCCAAUAUUCACAAUCUGGACAUUGAUUCUGCACGCACAGGCCAAAUAUUCCUUGAUUAUUCUUUGCCUACUAUUCAAGGUACUCCCCUCAAGCUGAAGUUGGAAGGAACUGCCAUCGUGGGAAUCAAACUGGCAGGUGAUCUGAAUAUCAUUGAACUCUUUACCAACCCAGCAAAUGUUGAGAAGAGUCUCAAACUGAUUCCAAGUGCAUCAAUUGCAGUCAACGGUUUUGUUGGCUAUGACUGUCACAUUGCAAAGGCAGGGACCGAAUUGAAGAGCACUGUUGCGACUGCUAAUGGAGCCACCAUCAACAUCAAGAAGAAUAGCAACAAUGUAUUUGAGUUUGAACUGGAGAUCCCAGAGAAGAUGGAACUAUUCAGUGUCAAGGCAGAGACCAAUCUUAUUAAAGCUAUUGGAAAGAGAGUGAUGAAGGUCAGUCCACCAUCCAUGAGGGAUGUUAGGAUUCACCACCAGAAAUGCAUGGAUACUCUUGAACCAGUGUUUGGCAUCAAGAUGUGCUAUGAAAUGAACUUCCCAGAUAUCUUCCGUAGCACUGCUAUGCCUCUGGGAGAACCCAUCGUUGCCAAGCUGUACAUUGAGAAAGCUGAUCCUUCCAUGAAAGGUUACCGAAUGACUACUGCCAUCAAGAACAAGAAAGGAAAUAAGGUUAUCAAAUUUAACAUAGGAACUCCUGGAGCUGCGACACCUCGACAAGCUGAACUGACUAUGUCCUAUAGCAAGGAGGAAAGGUCGCAUGUUGUUUCUGCCAAAUUUGAGACAUCUAGCACCACAGCAGGACUGUGGAGUACCUUGACAAAUGAGGGAGAGUACAAGGCUCUCGAGACCUUUGUAAAGUUCAAGUCCGAGACAUAUGAUAUUUCACGGGCAAUUAAGGUCGAGUUGAAUGGAAAGGAAGCUGCUGAUGAAAUGCAAUACGAAAUAAAUGUUUUCACUGGCCGGAACAAGAGGUUUACCGCGGAGUCCAAAGUUGUAGAAGCUAGAUUUAUCAAGAAAAUUAAUGGUCCUGAGGUGGAAGUAAUCUGCAAGACAAUGAAUGCACUUAGGGACUUCGUGGAUCUUAACAUUGAGGUUGAUGGAGACUUCGUAUACAAUCCAUAUAUGUGCAUUGUAGUUCCAACUGCAGUACGGAAGAUUGAGUUCCACACAGCUAUUGGAGCUUGGAAAGUCACUUCUUAUGUUCGGAAGGUGACUGAAGCCCCAGCAGCAGGACAUCAUACCUUAAUCAAGAUUGAAAAAGGGACUCGUGAGAUCAUGUCUGUGGACGCUGUCAUGAAGACUAAAGGGAGAAUGCUCAGAAAUAUGAUGAUUGAGAAUGAAAUUAAAGUGACCAUGGGAAGGAAGUCAUACAAAGCUACCAACAAAUUUUUCUUGGGUGCUUCAAAGAUGGGAGCACAGUUGGAGGUUAUUAAGCCCAAAGACAGCUUGAAGAUGAUUGAAUUUGAAGCACUGUAUGAACGAUCUGCUGGGGCACAAUGCCCGAGUAAUAGUCGAUGUUCCUGGAUAUCUGCAGGCUAUCAAGUUUGAAAGCAAAAUAAAUGAGGCAGAAGAAGGCAAAUAUGCUAUUGAAGCUGCCCUUAAGCAUGGACAGCGCAUGUUGUUGCAGCUUGAUGGUCCAAUCACCUACAUUUACUCGCCAAGGAACUAAAGUUUGAAGCUGAACUGAAAGUUGCUACGCUUGACAUGGAACCUCACAUUAUUUCUACAACUCUGCUAGGAAGCAGCAAUAAACAGAUUCUGGCUUUUGAGAUGAAGAACAGGCGAGAGAGCCUCUUUGCGUUCAAAUGGACCCUGAGUUCUGAGGUGGGACCAGGACAGAAGACUACUAGCAACACCAAACUGGUAGUCCCUGCUCUCAUGGAGUUUUUGUUCGACAUCUCACUCAUACAAAACAACGUUCAUGUGAGCCUCAACACAGCCGUACUUCCCAAAAGUGAAUCUGCACAUCGCAUAAAGUCUUUCAUAGAUGUCGAUGGUGAAAACAAGAAGGUAACUGCUGAAUUUGCUUGGGAUGCGGAUGGUAACCCUGAGAGGAAGUUCGUAGUGGAUGCAAAUGUCAUCAGCAGUUCCUCUGACCUGGGUCAUGCUUCUGUGCAUGGAAACAUCAUAGUUGCUGGUGAGCCAUACCACAUGAAGCUAAGUCUGAAUGCUGAAGAUAUCCUGGCAUCUGGCUUCGAACUGGAAAUAACAACACCUUCUCAGAAGACUCUUGCCAUGGAAGCCAGCUACAAAAUCGAGGACCAACAACCCACCACCAGAGUUACUACCAUUUUCAGGUACAAGAACACUGAAGAACAGGAGCAUAAAUUCACAGGUUCUGUUGCCGUUGAAAAGCUUGGAGGUCCGUACAACUAUGCCCUUGACACCAAGGUGACUUACAUAGCUCCUGAAGGAAAGGAAACAAGGUUGGAGACCAUUCUGAAACAUCACAAAAUGCCAGAGGCACACGUGGUACUCUUUAAGGUUGAUGCUGAAGGCCUUGUCCUGAGGAAGCCCCUCAUGUUAGAAUUCUCCAUUGAAAACAAAGAAGGCUCUUAUGAAGGGAAGUGUAUAAUGACAAGAAAUGCUCCUAAAUCUAUCUUUGACUGGGAUGUGAAGAUCCGGCCCCAAGGUGAAAUUGAAGCCAUUGAAGCAGGACUGGACCUGAAGGCAGCAGUUCAGCUACUAAAGGUUGCCCGUGCUGUACUUACCUUUGAAAAGGAAGAGAGAAUUGAGAGAUCUGAGUCAGCUAACUAUCGCUAUCAUUACAGUAAGCCAACACCAUCAUCUUACCAUGUUAUGGUGCAGACUCCAUCACGCACAAUGCAGGGUGAAGCCCACGUCUCAGCUUCACAGUCAGGAAUCAAGUUCUAUCCCAACAAAAGCAACCCUGAGUCCACAUACGAAGUUGGGUACAAGGCUACCCACACGGGCAAUCAAGGCAGAUGGGAGAGCCAAAUCAACCAUCCAGUUCUUCCCAAACCCAUGCAGUUUGCUCUUCAGUACACAGCUGACCAAACAGCUGUGGAAGGAACUGUAGAGCUGGAUAUUUUCCCGUCUAGCGAGGACAAAAUUACUGGCCAUCUUGCAUCAACUCGAGUAUCAGAAAGCAGCAUUAGAACUGAAGGUUCCAUUGUCAGCAGGGUUCUGAAAGUGAGUCCCAAGCUCAUUCUGCAGACAGCCAUUGGCUCUGACACAAUUGGUUUAGAUGUAGAAUUCAAGAAAUCUGCUUCUGCCCCACCAUCCCUUAAGGUCAUUGCCAAAUACGACAAAACUAGUCCAAGGAAUGCAGUCCUGGCUUUCACAGUGGAUUACGAGAACACUCCAGUAUUUGAGGUGUCUGGGGUAAUGGAGCCUGAAGAGACCCCCACAUGCAAUGGCUUGGCUAUGUCUGGUGUAGUCUAUGCCCCUGUUCUGGGAACACAUGACAUCCACUCACGAAUGUGCAAACCUGCUUUUGUUGAGGUGACCACCAACAAGCAAGGUGCCGAUAGAAAAUACAUCGCCAGGAUCGGUCUUCAGGCACCAGCUAAUGCGGAAAUUAGUCUGAGUGAGGGAACAACACAGUCUGCGGAGGAGCAUCCUAUCAUCCUUGCUCGCUUGGAGAUGGCUGAUCCUACACUGAUCAAAGUUGGCUUUGCUUAUGAGCGUCCGGAAUUCUAUCGUAUGAAGGAUUUGAUUCAGGAAAAACUCUCAGCUAUCACAACCUCUGUGGGAGCUGAAGUUCGAGAGAUCUUUGAGGAAGUAGCAGGGUCCUCAGCAAGCAUGCCAGGAUCAGAGUUCUCCACACUGAUAGCCGAAGUUAAAGCAGAACUGAGGCAGAUCUACCAGGAUCUGGUAGAAGAUAGCAGGCCAAUCCUUGGAGAAAUGCCUUCUUUUGGUCGCAUCAAGAACAGCUUCAGGCACAUGAUUCGAAUUUGGGCUCAGCUUGAGAAGAGCAUCAUCCAGGAACGCAAGAAGAUGGUCAAUGUGUGUCUGGAAAUGGUGAAGGACAUUACCACUCACAUGUUCACAGUUUUGGAGGAAAUUCUGCAAGUUCUAGAAACUGGAGAGAUUCCAGAGCCUGUUCGCCAUAUGGUAGAAGAACUGAAAACGAGUGAAGUGUACGAGUUCCUCAAGGGAGCAGUGGAGGCAUUGCUGGCCAGGUAUCCAGAAGAAUAUGAGGCCAUUAAAUAUGUUGUAGUCAAUGUGAUAAGUACCUUGGAGAGGGACUUUGAUCUCGUGUUUGAGAGGAUCAUGGAAAUUCCUGCUUUCCGAAGGAUUAUCGACUGGAUCAUGGAAAACCUGAAUCCUGGCCGCCUGGCAGCAAUGGAGGCAAACACACUUGCAGAAAUUCUUCUUGAGGACUUCCACGUCCUCGACAUAAAGGCUGAAAAGAACCAACUCACGAUUGAGAUCCCGCUGUACAAACCUUUGUAUUCAGUGGUGCAGUUUGUCAAGGAUGUGUUCAGUCCAUAUGAAAUUCGCAAAGACUUCAUGUGGCUGAUUGAUAGCACACUGCCUUAUUCUCUUGAAGACUUUAUCUGGAUGUAUUACACCUUCGUGCCUCAGCAAAUCACCGAUCUGUUGCCUCCUUACCCAAGACGAGCCAUGGUGGUAGGAGGUACCGAGAUCCUCACCUUUGACGGCCUUGUGGUGCGAGCACCUCGAUCCCCCUGCAAGGUCCUGUUGGCCGCCCAUGGUUCCCAUUUCAUCAUGAUGUCCCACCCACAGCCCUCAGCACCUGCAGAGAUUGAGAUCAAGACACCAGAUGCCACCAUCGUCGUCAAGCCUGAUGCUGAAGUGCUUGUUAACGGUCAGCCAACCAGUGGAUCAGAAGAGACUGUUGGAAAGAUUAGAAUUGAGAAGAAGGCUGGAGAGAUUGUAGUACAAUGUCCUUUGAUGAAGACUAUUGUAUCUACGAAGGGCGAGGUUGUGGCCAUAGAGGCGUCAGGAUGGACCUUUGGCCAUGUGGCAGGGCUUCUGGGACCCAACAACGGAGAAAUUGGAGACGACCACCUCAUGCCGAAUGGUGCAGAACCGUCCAGCCCUCGCGAGUUGGUGGCUUCUUGGCGGGAGAGGAAGCAGUGCUCCAUGCCCGAGGUUCCCCAUGCCAUACCUACAGUGGCUCGCGUGAUCCAGUGUGAAGCGCUGCUCAGGAUCCGAUCACAGUGCAUCGCAGUGGUCGAACCAGAACCCUUCGUCCGAAUGUGCCACGCCGCCCGGGACGCCUGCGACGCCUUCACUGCUUUCAGGACCUUCUGUGCUCUGAAGGGAGUUGAAGAAGCAUCCCCAAUCCCUUGCUGAGUGAGGAGCUGCAUUCAGGCCGCACGGAGACGAGAUGAUGACCUGCCAAUGAAUGAAUGUCAGAUAUUAUUAUCCAUAUUAUCUUUGUUGUAAGACUGCAUAUGAAAAUGAAAAAAAUAAAUAAAUGCAAAUAA